GAUGAACGCUGACAGAAUGCUUAACACAUGCAAGUCAACUGUGGCGGACGGGUGAGUAACGCGUAAAGAACUUGCCUCACAGAUAGGGACAACCUUUGGAAACGAAUGCUAAUCCCUGAUACUGUGAGAGAGCUUUGCGUCCCAUGAGCUAGUUGGAGAGGUAACGGCUCACCAAGGAGAUGAUGGGUAGCCGGCCUGGGAGUGUGAUCGGCCACAAGGGGACUGGGACACGGCCCUUACGCCUACGGGAGGCAGGGGUGGGGAAUAUUGGACAAUGGACCAAAGUCUGAUGCAGGAAUUCUGGGUGUACGAUAAAGUUUUGGGAAGGUAGAGUGCUUUCAGUUUGGAAGCGGUACCAGCAGAAGAAGGGACGGCUAACUACGUGCCAGCAGCCGCGGUAAUAC
rnacentral:rRNA from 1 species